rnacentral:rRNA from 1 species
CUGCUGCCUCCCGUAGGAGUUUGGGCCGUGUCUCAGUCCCAAUGUGGCCGUCCACCCUCUCAGGCCGGCUACUGAUCGUCGCCUUGGUGGGCCUUUACCCCGCCAACCAGCUAAUCAGACGCGGGUCCAUCCCAUACCACCUGGUUUUCAACAAAACGCAUGCGCUUUCUGUUGUUAUGCGGUAUUAGCACCUAUUUCUAAGUGUUAUCCCCCUGUAUGGGCCAGGUUACCCACGCGUUACUCACCCGUCCGCCACUAAGCCUUCCCUUUCCG